UACGGAGGGUGCGAGCGUUGUCCGGAAUCACUGGGCGUAAAGGGCGCGUAGGCGGCCACGACAAGUCACUUGUGAAAUCUCCGGGCUUAACUCGGAAAGGUCAAGUGAUACUGUCGGGCUAGAGUACAGAAGGGGCAACUGGAAUUCUCGGUGUAGCGGUGAAAUGCGUAGAUAUCGAGAGGAACACCUGCGGCGAAGGCGGGUUGCUGGGCUGAUACUGACGCUGAUGCGCGAAAGCCAGGGGAGCGAACGGG
rnacentral:rRNA from 1 species